rnacentral:rRNA from 1 species
CCUACGGGUGGCAGCAGUGAGGAAUAUUGGUCAAUGGGCUUACGCCUGAACCAGCCAAGUCGCGUGAGGGAAGACUGCCCUAUGGGUUGUAAACCUCUUUUGUCAGGGAGCAAUUGGCGCUACGUGUAGCGUUAUCGAGAGUACCUGAAGAAAAAGCAUCGGCUAACUCCGUGCCGGCAGCCGCGGUAAUACGGAGGAUGCGAGGGUGAUCCGGAUUUAUUGGGUUGAAAGGGUGCGUAGGCGGAAUGCCAAGUCAGCGGGAAAAUCGGGGGGCUCAACCUCGCUCCGCCGUUGAAACUGGCGUUCUUGAGUGGGCGAGAGGUAGGCGGAAUGCGUGGUGGAGCGGUGAAAUGCAUAGAUAUCACGCAGAACUCCGAUUGCGAAGGCAGCAUACCGGCGCCCAACUGACGCUGAAGCACGAAAGCGUGGGUAUCGAACAGGAUUAGAUACCCUUGUAGUC